ACUUAAAUUGAAGAGUUUGAUCAUGGCUCAGAUUGAACGCUGGCGGCAGGCCUAACACAUGCAAGUCGAGCGGUAGCACAGAGAGCUUGCUCUCGGGUGACGAGCGGCGGACGGGUGAGUAAUGUCUGGGAAACUGCCUGAUGGAGGGGGAUAACUACUGGAAACGGUAGCUAAUACCGCAUAACGUCGCAAGACCAAAGUGGGGGACCUUCGGGCCUCAUGCCAUCAGAUGUGCCCAGAUGGGAUUAGCUAGUA
rnacentral:rRNA from 1 species